rnacentral:rRNA from 1 species
UUAAGGUCCGCAGGCGGAUUUAUAAGUCAGUGGUGAAAUCCCCGGGCUCAACCUGGGAACUGCCUUUGUGACUGCAUAGCUAGAGUACGGUAGAGGGGGAUGGAAUUCCGCGUGUAGCAGUGAAAUGCGUAGAUAUGCGGAGGAACACCGAUGGCGAAGGCAAUCCCCUGGACCUGUACUGACGCUCAUGCACGAAAGCGUGGGGAGCAAACAGGAUUAGAUACCCCAGU